UUCUUCUUCGCAGCCACCGUUAUGUUUUGCAGUAACAUCAUGCAAUCAAGUUCACAUAAUCCCACGAACUCUUCUUUAAUGGAGCUUUAAUCAUAUCUUCAGUGGCCCAGUUCCGUGUAUAAAUACACCGGCUACAAGCAUAAGCCUAAUCUUUCAGAAUUUACAGGGUCUCUUAUUCAUUUAAGUGCUUCUUCGGUCAUGUAGACUUCUCAAAUUCGAUUUCCAGAGCUGAAGGCAGGCAGCUGCACACAAAGGGCGGUGAACUCAUGAAUGUUGACAUGCUGCUGACUGAUGUGAAGCUCUAGGCUUCGCUCAUCCAAGCCUCUGUAACCGUGCAUCGGAUCACCACACUCAAAAAUACACUUUGAAGAAAAUGAUCAAUGAGAGAGUGAGCCAGGCGAUCUUGGUGAGUGGUAAAAGCAGUGCUGGGAAGAUAGAGAGCAUAAAGAAGCUCAUGUGGUUACUCACCUACAUGGGGGAAAGUGUUGAUAGUGAAGAACGAUCUGUGGAGCAACAAGUUUUAGAGAUAUUCCAAUCCAGUUUUAGAAGCUUAUGGCAAGUGAAAAUCCCAAGAAACAAUACUUCACCGUAAAGUGGAUGAGUCUCAAGUUUGGUAAGUUGUCCAUUUUUAAUUAUAAUCCCUUGAACCUAAAUUUAAGAUACUAAGACAUAUCCCACGUUGCAAUUAUUUUGGUAAUUUGCUGGAGAUUCAAAACGACGAUAUAGGAAGAAUCUCAGGAGCUAUAACAGGAUAUUUUUGUUAGAGAGGUUGCGGGUUUGUCAAGUUUAGUACUCUGAAAGAAACUAUUAUUUCUUUUACAUGAUUUGUGCUGCACUAGAAAAGAUACAAGGAAAGCUAUUGACGAUGUUGGGCUUUGAUUCUUAAGAUCAGGAUUCAUUCUUCCGUGUAGUGGCUGUAUUCCUUCAUCUAGGGAACAUGGAGCUUGCAGAGGGUGAAGAAUGAGAAACUUCAGAAUCUUAAACUUGACGAGAAAUCACGGUUCCAUUCAAACCUCAAAGUUGUUCAUGCUAACGCUAAGGAAUUCAUCGUAGCAAGAUGUUAAUCAACAUUGUGUUCGGAAUCAGUGUCAUAUGGUGUUGAUGUGGCCGUUUGGACUUCACGUCGUAUCAUUGAUCUAAUAAUGUUAGGAGUUUUAUAUCUAUCAAAGGGUCAAUUUCCUUUUAUUUGUUAGGGAAUCUCUUCGUUGAGACGUUUGAUCUAUUAUAAGGAAGAAAUCAACAUUUGAUUGCAGUAAAGGCAAAUUUAAAUAAUAUAUUUCAAGAGGGAGGGUGACACUGAUAAAAAUACAGAAGACCGACAAUACCUCUCUUUUACUUUUUGCCAGCUCCAUCACCGAGAGACAUUGUUUUAAGCAGCACGGAUUGCCUCACCACAUUGCCAAUCUUUUCAUGGAUAUUGGCUUAUUGCUUAACAUGUCAACAGUUUUGGAUAACUCAUUUUCUGCAUUAACAACAAAUUCGCUAGGCCCACCAAUGGCUCGAAUGGAGAUCACAUACGUGGCUUGCCUCCCCCACCAUACGCAAUACGUAUUGCCUAAUAACAAAAACAAAUUGUAUAUAAUAGUUCAGCUUUGAAU